rnacentral:rRNA from 1 species
GACAGAGGGUGCAAACGUUGUUCGGAAUUACUGGGCGUAAAGAGUGUGUAGGCGGUGCUCUAAGUUCGGUGUGAAAUCUCCCGGCUUAACUGGGAGGGUGCGCCGGAAACUGGAGUGCUCGAGCGUGGGAGAGGAAAGCGGAAUUCCUGGUGUAGCGGUGAAAUGCGUAGAUAUCAGGAGGAACACCUGCGGUGUAGACGGCUUUCUGGACCAUUGCUGACGCUGAGACACGAAAGCGUGGGUAGCAAACAGG